CUACGGGUUGCUGCAGUGAGGAAUAUUGCGCAAUGGGGGAAACCCUGACGCAGCGACGCCGCGUGGAUGAUGAAGGCCUUAGGGUCGUAAAAUCCUGUCAGGUGGGAAGAAGUGGAUAUAGAUUAAUACUCUAUUUCUUUGACGGUACCACCAAAGGAAGCACCGGCUAACUCCGUGCCAGCAGCCGCGGUAAUACGGAGGGUGCAAACGUUGUUCGGAAUUACUGGGCGUAAAGCGCGCGUAGGCGGUUUAUUAAGUCAGAUGUGAAAGUCCAUGGCUCAACUAUGGAAGUGCAUUUGAAACUGGCAGACUUGAGUACUGGAGGGGGUGAUGGAAUUCCCGGUGUAGAGGUGAAAUUCGUAGAUAUCGGGAGGAAUACCGGUGGCGAAGGCGAUCACCUGGCCAGAUACUGACGCUGAGGCGCGAAGGCGCGGGUAGCGAACGGGAUUAGAUACCCCUGUAGUC
rnacentral:rRNA from 1 species